rnacentral:tmRNA from 1 species
GGGGGUGCUUGGUUUCGACAGGGAUGUAGUGGAUUAUUGAUGCAUGUGGAUGAGUUAACCUAUUCCUAAAAAACGGUUGAGAAACAUAAUCGGAAACGAUAAUUUAUUAAUGGCUGCGUAAGCGGCCACGGUCUUUAAAAGAUGGCGACACGCUUUGAAAAGAUUGUCAUAUAUUGUCGCUACUUUGGACGAGUGUCUGGUAGUUCGGAGGACAUUUACAGACUGGAUGACAUCAAAUUUUGAUUGUUUUAUAAAUGUUAUCGAGAUAAUAAAACAACUAAACAUGUAGACUUGGUAGUUGACAUAUCUUUGGACGCGGGUUCGAUCCCCGCCACCUCCACCA